GUGUUGGUUGUGAUCUCCCCUCUUUCAUUCUUGAUUUUAUUUAUUUGAGUCUUUUCCUUUUUCUUUUUCAUCAAACUGGCUAGUGAUGUAUCAAUUUUGUUAAUUCCUUCAAAGAACCAGCUUCUGGUUUCAUUGAUCUGUUCUACUGUUUUUUGGUUUCGAUAGCAUUAAUUUCUGCUCUAAUCUUUAUUUCCUGUAUUCUACUGGUUUUAGGUUUUAUUUGCUGUCCUUUUUCCAGCCCUUUAAGGUAUAAGAUUAGGUUGUGUAUCUGAGACCUUUCUUCCUUCUUUAGGAAGGCCUGGAUUGCUAUAUACACCCCUGUUUUGGCCACCUUUGCUAUGUCCCAGAGGUUUGGGUCUGUGGUGUUAUCAUUUUCGUUGGUCUCCAUGAACUUUUUAAUUUCCUCUUUAACUUCUUGGUUAGCCCAUUCAUUAUUUCAUAGGAGUUCUUUAGUCUCCAAGUAUUUGUUAUCUUUCCAAAUUUUUUCUUGUGGUUGAUUUUGAGUUUCGUAGUGUUGUGGUCUGAAAAUAUGCAUGGCAUGAUCUUGAUCUUUUUGUACUUGUUGAGGGCUGAUUUGUGUCCUAGUGUGUGAUCUAUUCUGGAGAAUGUCCCAUGUGCCCUGGAGAAGAAUGUCUAUUCCACUGCUUUAGGAUAAAAUGUUCUGAAUAUAUCUGUUAAGUCCAUCUGGUCCAGGUGUAAUUCAAAGCCAUUGUUUCCUUGUUGAUUUUCUGUUUAGACGAUCUUUCCAUUGCUGUAAGUGGGGUGUUGAAGCCCCCUACCAUGAUGGUAUUAUUAUCAGUGAAUUUCUUUAUGUUUGUUAUUAAUUGAUUUAUAUAUUUGGGUCCUUCAAAUUUGGAGCAUAAAUAUUUAUAAUUGUCAGGUCUUCUUGGUGGUUAUAUAUGAUAUAUCACCUUAAUUAUGAUAUAAUGCCUAUCUUCAUUUUUGUUAGUCUUUAUUUUAAAGUCUAGAUUGUCUGAUAUAAGUUUGGCUACUCUGGCUUUCUUUUGGCAACCAUUAGCAUGAGAGAUGGUUCUCCAUCCCCUUACAUUCAGUCUGAAGAUGUCUUUAGGUCAAACGUGGGUCUCUUGUUAACAGCAUAUAGACGGAUCUUGUUUUCUUAUCCAUUCUGUUACCCUAUGUCUUUUGAUUGGAGCAUUUAGUCCAUUGACGUUUACAGUGAGUACUGAAAGAUAUGAAUUUAUUGCCAUCAUGUUGCUUGUAGAACUGGAGUUUCUGGUGGUGUUCUCUGGUACUUUCUAGUCUUUGUUGCUUUUGGUCUUUUUUUGUUUUGUUCUUGUUUCCAUCUUUUCUCCCCUCAGAGAGUCCCUCUUAAAAUUUCUUGUAGGGCUGGUUUAGUGGUCACGAACUCCUUUAAUUUUUGUUUGUCUGGAAACUUUUUAUCUCUCCUUCUAUUUUGAAUGACAGCUUUUCUGGAUAAUGAAUUCUUGGCUGCAUAUUUUUCUGAUUCAGCACAUUGAAUAUAUCAUACCACUCCUUUCUGGCCUGCCAAGUUUUUGUGGAUGGGCCUGCUGCAAACCUGAUCUUUCUUCCCUUGUAGGUUAAGGGCUUUUUUUCCCUUGUUGCUUUCAUGAUUGUUUCCUUGCCUGAGUGUUUUGUGAAUUUGACUGAUAUGCCUUGAUGAUGGUCGGUUUUUGUUGAAUCUAGUGGGAGUACUUUGUGCUUCCUGGAUUUUUAUGUCUGUGUCUUUCCCCAGGUUAGGAAAGUUUUCCACUAUGAUUUGCUCACACAACCCUUCUACCCUUCUUUCUCUCUCUCCCUCCUUUCUGGGACCGCUAUGAUUCUGAUGUUGUUCCUUUUUAAUGAGUCACUGAUUUCUCUAAUUCUUAAAUUGUUCUUUUUUGCCUUAGUCUGCCUCUUUUUUUCUGCUCCAUUAUUGUCCAUAAGUUUGUCCUCUAUAUCAUUGAUUCACUGCUCUGUCUUAUCCAUCCUUGCCACCGUGGCAUUUAUUCAAGAUUGCAGCUCAGUUAUAGCAUUUUUUAUUUCAUCCUGACUAGUUUUUACUUCCUUUAUCUCCUCGGAAAGGGAUUCUAGUCUAUUUUCAAUCCCAACUAAUAUUCUUUUUACCAUGAUUCUAAAUUCUGGUUCAGACAUCUUGCUUGUAUCUGUGUGGAUUAAGUCCCUGGAUGUCAUUUCUUCCUGCUCUUUCUUUUGGGGUGAAUUCCUUUAUUUGAUUAUUUUGAAGGAGAAAAGGAAUUAAUAAGGUAAAAAAAAAUAAAAUUAAAAACAACACACACACACAAUAUCAAAUAAAUGAUGCUAAAUCCUACGUGUGUUUUGUUCUGGUUGUUGAAAGGAGCCUGAUAGAUUAGAGAAAAAAGGAAGAAAAAAAAAGGAAAAAGUUUGAAAAUUUGAAAAAAUGAAUACAAUGAAAUAUAAUAAAAUGAAUUGAUGGAAGUAAAAUAGAAUUUGAAAAAAAUUACAAAAUAGUAAAGAAUAUAGUGAAAAACAUUAAAGAAAAAUAUUUUUAAUAAAAAUUGAAAGUAAAAAUAAAACUUUUCUCUUUCUGUGUUCAAGAAAAAGAAAAGAAAUGAAAGAAAAAAAUAAAAAGAUGGAUCAAUGAACAGACUGAAAUAAGAUUGAAAUUACCUCGUUUUCCCCUAGAAGUCAAACUGUGAAGCACUUUACAGGCGGUAAACUAAGCAGGUGGAGACACUUGUGAUCCUGAAGAGUGAGGUUGGCUCAGUUGGGCAGGCUUAGUGUAAUGGCUCUGUUCUCCACUAGAUGGCGCUGCUUGGUUUACUGGGGUAGAUUGUUUUGGCGCUUGUAGGUGUGUAUGCGCAUGCUCGGGAAGCUAUGGCGUCACCCAGGUACCCAGUCUCUGUUCUCCCCGCUCAGCAAUCAUGCGCCUGUCCGUUGUCUCCAGCUUCCCUCCAUUCCCUGCCUUUACGCUUGCCCUGACGUGACCAAGCCGUCAGGUUGCCAGGCAGCACCUCCCUCCUGAGUUUUAUCUCCAAUGCGACUGUGUUUCCCAACCUCUCGCCUCUGAGGGACUGCGGUUUGACCCGCUCAGACCUUCUCGCAGAGGGUCUCACCGAGCAAUGGCUGGUGCUGGCUGCACCCAGGAACGUUCGGGAAACCUCGCUGCUGCUGAUGCCCAGAGACUGUGGCUGGGUGCCAGCCCCACCCAGAAGAAGUUCAAGCAGUUGUGUAGCAGCAACGUUUCAGGGAUUAUGGUGUCCCAAAGUGUACUCCCUGGACCAGCAGCAUCAGCAUCACCGGGGAAUCUGAGAAACGCAAAUUCUCGGUGCCACCUGAGACCUACUGAAUCAGAAACCCUGGGGGUGUCUCCCCAAACUCCAUGUUAACAAGGCUUCCAGAUGAUUCAGACGCACGCUCGAGGUUGGAAACCACUGUUUCAAUAGACUAUUUUCUUUCUGUAGACUUAUCUCCUUUCCCAAACCACAGCGGAUGAGUUGGAGCACCAAUGCUAAGAAAGAACCAGCCUAUUUCCAUUUUGUUCACUGACACAAAAUCAUCUCCUCUGAAGGACACGCCUAGGAACCUACUUCCUGACUCUGAUGAUCUGCUAAUAUUCAAUGCUUUUCACCUGGCUUCUUGCUUGCCUCUCUGGGACCACAUGUGUUGGAUUCUCCGGGCCUGGAGCCAGAGGUCUGGGUGAAUAUCUGUGCAUUUCUGAGUUGACUGAAAGGCUGCAGCAGCCGUAGGCUAAGAAAACCAGGCUGCUUGAGCUCCAUGUUGUUUUUGUCUAGAAUCCAAGUUCCCUCACACUCCACAUGGCUCUUUUCAGUAGAGGAGCCUCUAGCUUUCCGAACUUGGCGUCCCCGUGGAGAGAGCACUAUGUCACUUCACGAUUCUGCCCACUUGCUGUCCUGGAUCUCAGACCUUGCUUUUCAGCAGACUUUGGGUGGGUGUUUGACUUUCUUUUUGGCGAGACAGAGGAAAUGAGCAAGUAUGUGAAAGCCUUCGAAUGGCCACUCCCUAAAAGCAGCAAGAAACUCCAGAGAGUCCCACAGACUCUUGUAAAAUGCAGCCUAGAGCUCAGGGAAUGUCUGGAUUUUCUCCCCAGGGAGCUUUUUCACACUUUGGAACAUCCUUGGAGGAAACCACAGGCAUCUGGAAGGCCCUUCUGCAACAGGAGACAUGAGGAGAAACUACCUUCUGACCUACCUCAAUGUUGGAGGCAUCUGUUCCGUUUGCACUUCUCCGCUUCCUGCCCCGUUUGGGGUAGCCAUUGAUCUUACACUCAUAACAAGCCUCCGGGGAGAGAGAAUUGUCAUCCAUUUCACCGCUGGCAGGUGGCUCUGGGCCUCCUCGGCCCAUGCCAAUUCCAGAAACACAGUGCCUGUGGAAGGGAAGCACAGCCCUUUUUCAUUAGAACUGGGAGAUGAGGGAGGUGGUGCAAGAGUUCUGGUGAAGUGUGGACCCCACCUGGUGACACUGAGACAUUGAUUAUUCGUCCAUUAGGUGACUGGCUGGUUCUGAGAGCCACACUGAAGUCCUCUGUGUUUAGGCUCUGAGUCCCAGUUCCUGGAGUGGAUUCCUUUCUACUAUCUCUCAAGCUAGAGGAGAAGGCAUUUUAAGUCAAGAGAGAAUCCUGCUUGCCUCAGGAGAAGGGGAGAUCAGCAAUAUGCAGUGUGAGUCCAGUUCUGUCAUGGGUCAGCCCCUGCAUUUCUAGAGAAAUGAAUCACUUCCCAACAAGAUGCGAAGAUCAAGAGAAGGAGAUAGAGACACCAUAUAUCAAGGGAAAACCAGAAGACACUAUGUGUGUGACACCGGCCAGACGUCUCUACUGGGGACCGCUGGCCAGCUGGCUCUCAGCCAGCACUCAGGAAGAACUCCCAGCCAGAGAUGAUCUUCAUGGGGCCAAAGGAGAGCCUCCAGGCAACGAAGACAUGACCUGUCCAUCUCCGCUAUUCCUGGACUAAAGAGGGUGAUAAUGAAGAUUUUGACAGUCACACAGAUUAUCUCCACCAGGAAUUACCAGCUGCUUCAAGCUGAGGCCCCUACCCACCUUCACAGCUGGCGCCACUCUGAUCAAGAGAGAAUCCUCGCUGGCAUUCACAGGUGAAGCUCCCAGGAGUAUUCUGGCAAAUACCCUUAGACCCACACAAGUUGAUGU